rnacentral:rRNA from 1 species
GACGAACGUUGGCGGCGUGCUUAAUACAUGCAAGUCAACUGAAGCACCGGUAGUAAUACUGGUGUGGAGGUGGCGCACGGGUGAGUAACACGUAGGUAAUCUGCCUUCAGGUCUGACAUAACCCCGAGAAAUCGGGGCUAAUAGCAGAUGAUGCAGCGGCUUGACAUCAAGACAGUUGUUAAAGCUUCGGCGCCUGAAGAUGAGCCUGCGUCUGAUUAGCUAGUUGGCGGAGUAAUAGCCCACCAAGGCGACGAUCAGUAGCUGGUCUGAGAGGAUGAUCAGCCACACUGGAACUGAGACACGGUCCAGACUCCUACGGGAGGCAGCAGUAAGGAAUAUUGCUCAAUGGGAGAAAUCCUGAAGCAGCAACGCCGCGUGAGGGAUGAAGGGCUUUUGCUCGUAAACCUCUGUAGUGAGGGAAAAAAUUUCCAUUCUAUGGAAUAUGAUGGUACCUCAAAGUAAGCCCCGGCUAACUACGUGCCAG